UUUGUCUGUUUUGUUCCUAAUUUGGGAAUGUCUUGUUUACAUUAAUUUCCAUAGAAACUGCAUGUAGCUUGACUUUACCCCAGUUGAUGGCCAAUGAAAGUCAGUGCCUGGGACUGACCGGCACCCCUGUUGGUUGCACUGCCAUUAGCCAUCCUGGCUCUCCACUUUCUCUCACCUGGUUCUAUCUUAGUUUGCCUCAGGCCUGCAUUGUAUACUGGGCAAGGUAUUGGAACCUAAGGGCAGGGGUCUCUAGUACCUGGCACCCAGGUAAAGCUAGGAGUAUUUUUUCUUGCUAUCUUGCUUUGUGCUCCUUAGAGCUUUCCUAGCUGUUUUCAGUCCAUUACUUGUGUUCUCAUUUCAGCUCUUUCCGAACUGAAUGCAAGCCAUGUUCGGCCCUCUGUGUCCAGCCAUAGCUUCCUGCCCACAUCUGCUGGUGCACCAAAGCCAAGCAGUUCUCCUCAUGCUUUUGCUCCCACCUCCUCUGCACCUGUGGUCUUAGCAACUCCAGUGGAGGGGAGGCAGCUCGACCUCCUCCAGAGGGGAUGUCACGAUUUCACAUUUUCUGAGAGGCAAGGCCGAGUUACUCCAACCUUAGCAGGCAGGCUUCCGCCAGACUCGCUUCUAUAAGCAAGCCGAUUUGGGGCUAAUUCUUCACAGCCUGUUUGGGGCAUAGUCAGUAUGAUGGUCCUCCACACGCCUGGGUUAGUAGUGGGCCUCUGGGCUGAGGACCUGUGUAAUGCACCCAGAUACCCAGGUUUCAGAGUUUAGCAUUCAGGCUGCCAGCCAAAGAGCUGAUCCAUGACUGUCAGAAGAUGGACUUUAUUUGAGUAGGAAGCUUGUUUUUGUCUGGAGUGGUUGUACAGCACAUUCCGUUCAUAUGACUUGGGUUCUCAGAUUUGUAAGGGCCCAGCUUCCUAUGGGACCUUCGGGGACAUCGACUUCUUCACUCUGGGUUUACAAGAUGUCCCACCCCAAGUUUCUCUGGCUGUACAACUCUUUCCACCUGAAAGUUAUCUGAAAAAUGAAAGAUUCAGCUAAUACUCUGGCAGAAUGCUAUUAGCACUUCCAUGGUGUUUUGGGUGAAAUGACAUUAUCUUAGUAGAUGUUUAAGGAGAUGAGAGCAGACGGGAGAAUCAGGUUGGGUCAGACUAAGACUGGAAUCACAGCUGAGAACAGGGGAAGAAGCUUCAAGUGGGGCAGUCCCACCCAGGGCAUCCCUGGACAGGCUGAGGGUCACCAAUUCUGGCCUCUCCACAUGCCAGUGGAGAGCAUCUAUGAGCAUCUUGCCCUCUAAAACAGGAGAUUAGAUUGUCUCAAAGGUUCCUUUUAACUGAAUACUGAUUUCUGUUAAUCUCACACUUAAAAAUUUAAGUCACAAAAUCAAGGCAGGUCAUAUAUAUAUUUGUGGGAGCUGGAGAGAGGAGGCUGGGAAGAGGGUUAUGCUGGAAGAUACCAAAUGUUGUGUCUAGGAUAGGAGUCUUGGACGGCCAGGGUUAAAGCCAGUCUUGUUCUGGACCCCGGCCCUGCAGAGCAGCCCUGAUCUCUGUGGAAUCUAGUAAGUGCUCCUGGGACAUACCUGUCCCCCUGCCAUGCUGGGCAGUGGCAGUGUUAAGUCUUGGCUGCCAGCCUAAAGGCAAUGAUCACCUGGCAAAUUAGAGCUCGGUGCUCUGUGUGCACCUGCAGUGGGAAAUCCCUGGGCUGUCUGGCUCCAGAGAAGACCCAAGUGGGGCUUUCACCUCGAGCUUCUUCUGUUCCGCUCCUGCUGUCCAGCAGUAAACAUUCAUUAACAUCCACAGCUGAGGGCCAGCUGGGGUCACGAUGGAUCAGUGGUUCUCUCUGGGCUCCAGGCCUUGCAAGCACACCUUGCUCUUUCAUAGCUGGAGGUGGCUGAAAUACGCAGAUGCAAAGUGACUCUAAAAUUCCAAGUGUGCGUGGCUGUGUGUAAAAUUUCAUGGAAACGUCAUAAAACUAUGUGGCUCACACUGUGCUCCUUUAACUACAGAGGUCUCAGAAACACUUGGUCUGAUCACAGAAAGAGCCGGUGCAAUGAAACCUCCCUAAAAUGCCUCUGUGAGGCCUAUUGAAAUGUACAGUGAGUGUUUAAACGAAAGACACUUUGCCAUUAACCCUCCCUGGACUCCUUUCCCCCUGUUGCAAACAUACUUAGCCCAUGAUUCUUGCCACUUCCUGAAGCAGCUCUGGAGUCCUUUUUCCCAAGUGUCUUUAGGAGGUGUAAUAAAUCAGUGACCACUGCUGCUGAUCACCACGCCACAGAGAGGCAGCUCAUAAGAAACACGACCCUGUGUUCUCAUCUACCUUACACCAGCUCUGAUGCUGAGUGACUUCCAGCUCUUCCCCAAAGUCAGGAUGAUCGUGAGAGGGGAAUGUUUGGAAUUGAGUCAGGACAUGGAGACAUCCAGGACAGCGUAGCUGAAGACCCUCAGGAGAGAGGACUGCAGAGCCGCUGGAGGCAGCCACGACAGUGGGACGAGUGUGUGCAAGACUCUGCUGAAGGUUUUCGUGAUGAAUAAAUCCACCAAAUUUCAGCUUAUCAGGAGGAGACGGAAAAAGGAUAAAAGUUUAAGGAAACUGGUCUCUGAAUAAGCAUCAUUUCAUCGUUUGAAGCCCACUUAGCAAUAAGGUAUCUAAGAAAGCAGACCUCCAGUUGCUUUAAAGAUCUGCUCCGAGUUCCCUUCCUUUUGGUUGGCACCGGAAGUGGUCACUCCAGUCCUCUUUUCCCCUCCCCCAACCUAAGUGGUGCCUUAUCCAAUUCUGAGCAUUCUGACCAAAUCUGGCUUUGAGAAAGAACUGUCCUGAUCUGAUACAUAAUCCAAGUCAUACUACUUGAAAUCCAGGUUGAAACUGUGUUCUUGCAUAACCUACAACAUUCAGGGCCGGAUACUCUUGAGCUGGCUCAGCAUGUACAAUCCACUGGUAGAAUUUUUGCCCAGGGCUGGUGGAUAUGGGAAUUAUUGCUAUCUUUCCCAAAAGCGAUUUGGAAAUAUAGGUCAGGCUUAAAAAUGCUCAUGCCCUUUCCCCCAGUGACUUAAAUCUUAGGAACUGGGCCCCGGGAAAUAGAGACAGGGCUAAGAAUGAUGUGUUGAAGACUCCCAGAAGCACCAUCUGCCACUACAACACCAAAAUAGGAACCAAAGGAAACAUUCAACCAUCCAGAAAUUGUUAGCAUCACAUUCCAACCCACCCAGCAUGUGAUGUGACCGCUUCAUGAAAUAGUGAUGGUGUGGGAAGAAACACUGCCACUGCCCACGUGAGCCUGAAAGGGGACAAGUAGAGGCCCAGGUUGUACACAAUAUGAUUCCAGUUCUGUUGCCACCGGCCAUUCACCACCUGUCCAUCCUUCACGCUCAAGCUACCUAGGGGGAGUGCGGCAAGAAAAAAGAACUGAAAGAAUUUUGCAAAUUUCAAUUCCCAUCCGCCCGCUCCUUCCUUGAGCCCCUUCCCGUAGCCCAAGGCCAGCAUUUCUUCCCGAAAGGCUUUAGUUUUAGCGUCUCAGCUGUUUCCCAAAGCCAAGCCCGUGGACCCCCUCCCAUGAUGCCCCACAGCUGUGGCAGGAAAUGGAAACCCGAAGCGUCAACAAACCAAAGAGGCCCAUGCGACCACGUGACUAUGACCAGGCAGUCAUCCAAUCAUCAAGCAACUUUCUCCCCAUCACUUCCGGAACUUUCCCGAGGCUCCCCGGAGCUCCUGGCCUCCUUGCCCCAGGGCUGUGCCCAUAAAGCUUUUGGUUUCUUCAGAAACCUGGUGCCGGGCCGUGAGCACUUGCUGGAUACACAGGAGAGUCACGAGCCCACAGGUCCCUACGUCACAUGGGUGGAGCUGUUCCAUCAGGGAUUUUGGAGCUUGUGACAUUUUGACCUGAAGACCUAGAUUCUUUGGCUCGUGUGCAGUUUUGGAAAGACGUUUGCAAACAGCAAGAAUCACCUGUGAAAGACCUGGAAGAUAAUUCUGGAAGGGAAUUUAAGAAUUUGGCAUUUAAGGCGUAUAUGGGCAGACAGAUCCAGGUGGUGCGAAGUAACGGGGAACACUCCGGCCAUGGGAGGAAGCCGGGGACGCUGGGAAGAGACUCCAGACGGGAGAGCAAGGCCAGGGAGGCAUCGAGCCAAGGAAGCAGCUGUGACUGAAACAGCAGCAGGCAUCGUGGUCCAAUUACCUCAUUUCCUAGGCAUGGAGGAUACAAUCGUGAGCUAAAUAAGCAAAGAAGCUAGCCUGCAGGUGAGGAGAGAGAGGAGCACGCGUUCUGAAGAGCAGUGAAGUUGGGUCAGCGAUGGAGAGUGACCGGGGUGAGAUUUUAUAGAAGGCGGAAAGGAAAACGUCUCUAGGAUGAGAAACAUCAGGUACCUGGAAAGGACCAGCAAAUAAAUGCAAAGGCCCUGGGGGAGCCCACGCCAGGCACCAAGGCAGCUGGAGAGAAGAGGAGGUAAGAUGAGAGGUGGCAAAAGGCCAGAGCCUUAGGGGCUUUGCAGACCAGGGAGAAGAUGAGAAGCAGAAGGGUGACGAUCUGAUGAACGCCCAGGAGGAAGCAGUGAGGCGGCCCGGGACCAGGAAGAAAGCGGUGGGGUGGGAAGGAGCGCAGAGGCUGCUGUUUCCAGUGAGCCAGGAGAGGUGGCGGUGGUUGGUGAGGUUAAGGCGGCAGCCAUAGAGGCGGUGAGGUUGCCCAGUGGAUUAGAUGAGCGGAGAGCGAGGGAGAGAGAGCCGAUGGGGUGACUCCCACCUUUCAAGCCUGAGCAACGGAAAGGAUGGGGUUGCCAUUUGCUAAAAUGGGAAAAAUGGAAACAGGUUUGAAAGAAGAGAAAAACCAAGCGCUUUUCUUUGCACCCAUGAAACAGCUGGACUGUGUGGGUGUGAAGCUGGGAGAGGCUGAGGCUGAAGGUGGAGGUUAGGCAUCACCAGAGGCAGAGGGUUUCGAAGCCCACGGACCCAGGUGGGCUUGCUGGGGAGCAAACGCAGCUGAUGGGGAAGGGGCGCCCUGUGGAGCCAUGGCUUAAGGUGCGGAGGUUGGAAAGAUGAGAGGGAAGCGUCGUGCAGAGCAGCGGUGGUCAGGAGAGGAGGGACGGGCUGUGGGAAGGAUGUGGUCCAGGAGAGAGGCCCUGCGCGGGGCCUGCAGAGGCCACUGAAGACGCGGUGAGGAGCCCUUCCUGUGGGGCAGCGGGGAGGAAUCCAGGCUGCCAUAGGCUCAGGAGAGAAGGCAAGUGCCCGAGAUGCGGAGCGUUCUUGCUGCAAGAAGGGGAGGAAAAGGGUGCAGCGGAAGGGAGGAAGUGGAAAAGCAGAGUCUGGUCCAGGAACGGGAGAUGGUGGGGCACGUUCAUGUUUCAGUGGAAGCGACUGGGCGGAAGGGAAGGAAAGCAGCUGUGGCAGAGGGAGCGUGGUCCUUCUCUGGGUGACGGAGAGGCUCAGUGGGAGAGGGCUGUUCAUCCAUGCAGAGAGAGAAGCCUCUGCUGGGUCGGAGGGCGGACAUGGGGAGCGAAGACAGCAAUGUCAGAGGCGCAGAACCCCGAGGGUGACUUCCAGCCACACCCCGACCCCGGUUCCACAGGGGCGCAGGGACUGGGCCCCAGCACGGGCAGGCGCCCAGCAGGCCCCGGGACCCCGUGUGCCCCGA